UGCGGCGCAUUAGUUAGUUGGUAAGGUAACGGCUUACCAGGGCGACGAUGCGUAGCCGACCUGAGAGGGUGAUCGGCCACACUGGAACUGAGACACGGUCCAGACUCCUACGGGAGGCAGCAGUAGGGAAUCUUCCGCAAUGGGCGAAAGCCUGACGGAGCAACGCCGCGUGUGCGAAGAAGGUCUUCGGAUCGUAAAGCACUGUUGUUAAGGAAGAACGACAGUAAGAGUAACUGCUUACUGUGUGACGGUACUUAACCAGAAAGCCACGGCUAACUACGUGCCAGCAGCCGCGGUAAUACGUAGGUGGCAAGCGUUAUCCGGAAUUAUUGGGCGUAAAGCGCGCGUAGGCGGCGAGAUUAGUCUGAUGUGAAAGCCCCCGGCUCAACCGGGGAAGGUCAUUGGAAACUGUUUCGCUUGAGUGCAGAAGAGGAGAGUGGAAUUCCAUGUGUAGCGGUGAAAUGCGCAGAGAUAUGGAGGAACACCAGUGGCGAAGGCGGCUCUCUGGUCUGCAACUGACGCUGAUGUGCGAAAGCGUGGGGAUCAAACAGGAUUAGAUACCCUGGUAGUCCACGCCGUAAACGAUGAGUGCUAAGUGUUAGGGGGUUUCCGCCCCUUAGUGCUGCAGCAAACGCA
rnacentral:rRNA from 1 species